GGAUUAUUGGGGCGUAAAGGGCUCGCAGGCGGUUUCUUAAGUCUGAUGUGAAAGCCCCCGGCUCAACCGGGGAGGGUCAUUGGAAACUGGGAAACUUGAGUGCAGAAGAGGAGAGUGGAAUUCCACGUGUAGCGGUGAAAUGCGUAGAGAUGUGGAGGAACACCAGUGGCGAAGGCGACUCUCUGGUCUGUAACUGACGCUGAGGAGCGAAAGCGUGGGGAGCGAACAGGAUUAGAUACCCUGGUAGUCCACGCCGUAAACGAUGAGUGCUAAGUGUUAGGGGGUUUCCGCCCCUUAGUGCUGCAGCUAACGCAUUAAGCACUCCGCCUGGGGAGUACGGUCGCAAGACUGAAACUCAAAGGAAUUGACGGGGGCCCGCACAAGCGGUGGAGCAUGUGGUUUAAUUCGAAGCAACGCGAAGAACCUUACCAGGUCUUGACAUCCUCUGACGACCCUAGAGAUAGGGCUUUCCCUUCCGGGACACAGUGACACGUGGUGCAUGGGUGUCGUCAGCUCGUGUCGUGAGAUGUUGGGUUAAGUCCCGCAACGAGCGCAACCCUUGAUCUUAUUUGCCAGCAUUCAGUUGGGCACUCUCAGGUGACUGCCGGUGACACACCGGAGGAGGGUGGGGAUGACGUCUCAUCAUCACGCCCCUUAUGACCUGUGCUACACACGUGCUA
rnacentral:rRNA from 1 species